AUUUAGGAUAACAUUUGACCGAAACCGGUAAUAUAUAUGUGACAACACAUGAACUCUUUAAUUAUUUACUUAAAAAAAAAAAAAAAAAAAAAAAAAAAAAAAAUCACCAAUGUAAUGAGUUUAUUUUUGUUUUUCUUUUAUAUUUUUCACCUAUUUCAUUCCUUGUAUUACUGUUUUCAAAGAUAUAAUAUAACAAAAAGUGACACACGCCUAAUAAAUAAUUAUCAUAGUAAAAAACGUGUUAAUAAUAAUAUCAGUUAUAUACACAAAAGGUACUCAUUUAACAAACAUGUAAAAAAGAGCCCAAAAUAUCAAUUGUUUUAUAAAAAUAAGAAAGAAAGAGAUAUUCUUGAGUCAGGUUAUUUAUAUCCAUUUGAUCAUUUAGAAAAAAAAAAAAAAAAAUUUCCUCCUGACCCUUAUGUAUCGACUGAUAAUGAUUUAAAAGAGACUUCUUAUGAAAUUUAUGAUGAUAACGUGAAUAAAGAUGAUUUGUUAACUGAUGACGAUGACGAUGCAAAGAAGUAUUUCGGAGAAUGCACAUUUAAUCGACCUUACACGAUGUCUCUGUUGGACGAUCCCUUAAGCGGGGUGAACGGAGACGCCGAUCCAGAUGGAGACACAUACGCUGGUGCAGACGUCGAUACAUAUGCGGAUCCAGAUGCAGAUCCAGAUGCGGACCCAGAUGUGGACCAAGAUGUGGACCAAGAUGCGGAUCAAGAUGCGGAUCAAGACGCGAAUACAUACGCCGAUAUAUAUGCAGAUCCAGAUGUCGAUACAUAUAUAGACAACGGAGAUAACAACGGAGAUAACAACGGAGAUAACAACGGAGAUAACAACGGAGAUAGCAACGGAGAUAGCAACGGAGAUAGCAACGGAGAUANNNNNNNNNNAGAUAGCAACGGAGAUAGCAACGGAGAUAGCAACGGAGAUAGCAACGAAACAAGUGAAGACAUAAAUAACGAAAUAUAUAGCGGUAAUGACACACUGGAUUGUAGUAAAGACGAUUAUACCCGACACAUCGACAAGAGCAAACUAAGUGGCAAACUAGCCAGCGGAAGUAAUAAGACAGAAAAUAGAAGCAGAAUAAACGUUAUUGUCCACGCGUCAGACAAAAACAAGGCAGAGUGUGAAAUAAUAAAAGAUCAACUGCACUAUUUGCUUCAUUCUGUUAUGGAUAAUAUUUUUAUUAAACAGUUUAAAUUGUGUGUUAAAUCUUUUAAUACAGUAUACCCAAAAGAAGAAAACAAUAUUAUUUAUGUUUCAUAUGAAUUUGAAAAAGAUGUUUAUUAUUAUAAAACAUCAAUUAGUUGCUUACAUGAUCUGAUUUUGUUUACUCAAAAAUUAAAAAAAGUUAUAGAGAAAAAAAUGAAUAUGAUAUUUAAAGAUGAAGAAGAAAAUGAAAGUAUACAAUAUAUUAAU
rnacentral:lncRNA from 1 species